UUUAAAGCUAGCAUAAACCCUGUAGCUUCUGUAAAACUGUUGAACAUGAAUUGUUGAGUUUUUCAAAGUAUAGACAGGAAUGGCUGAUUCUGAACCAAUCCUGAGGACAAUAUUGAAUUUUAGGGGAAUUCUACAUGAGAGUUCAGGCGAUAAAAAAGUAGGGCAGUGUUUUGAUUUUUAGCAAAUACAGGAUAUAUUUAGGGAAUGUAGUAUAGAAAAGCUAAACUGAUCCACACUCCAGUCCAGAAGGUGUCGGAAAUACUCCAACAAGCUGUUUUCCAACCGUCAUCAAAAAGAGGAAGAAGAAAGCUUCUGUAGCUGUUCGCUGGGGACCCCACUGUGAUGUCACUCACCUGUGUGCCCCCAGGUUAAUGCAGCUGAUUCCCAGGUUGUAGCGGGACCUGAUAAAUCCAGGCUGUAGCUCCAGGGCUCUUGUGUAUGCCUCUACGGCUUCCUCACUCCGAUCCCCGUUUGCCAGUGUGGCCCCCAGGCGAUUCCACAACAAAUAGUCCUAGAUGGAGGGAGGGAGCGAUGUUUUAGUGCUGAUCAAUGUCAACUGUUUUGUCAGCCUGUAUUGUUUUGAUUGCACUCAAAUGUCUGUCUGCAUUCAAUUAAUGAACAGGAUUAAAGUUUCUUGAAAAACUCA